rnacentral:lncRNA from 1 species
CAGGUCUGAUGUGAGGUUCACAGAGCUGUCGUCUAAGGAGCUGGGGCAAGGGAAGAGUGUGUGCUACCAAACAGGUCCAAGUCUUCUACUGGGAUUACUUUUGAAUAGCAAGAAUAACUAUGCCAACCUAUCUCCUCCCAACCAUGCUCCACUAAUGCAAAAUCAGUAUUGGGCAACCCUGAGAACAGUCAUGAGGUCUUUAGAGGUGGUGAACGAGAGAAGUUUCGGUAUCAUCUAUCAGCAUUUUGAGUAUCUGGAGCACGGCUUUAAUUUUAGAGUAGUUCCAUAACCUGCCAUUGAAUUCUGAUCUCUUUAAAAG